rnacentral:lncRNA from 1 species
UGUUUUUGUUCUCAUUGACUGGCGUAUAAACCAAGACUCAAAAAAAUGCUUUCUUCAUAUUGUGAGCAACGUGUAUCUUGAAACGGCAAAAGAAAUUAUUAUUAAUGAUCGUCCUUGAACGUCCUACUAAUUUGCCAUAAAAAAGAAAAAAAUAUAUUUGAAUAAAUACAUAUGUUAAUAAAAACUGGUUUGUAACAAAACUAUAAAAAAAAUCAACCAGAUCUUUUUUAUACCUGCUAUUAAACUCUUUUCUGUUACUAUUUAAAACAACUAAAAGAGAAUUACUCCAGUGUAGACGAAACCAAAAGAACACUUGCAAAAUAUAAAAAUUACCAGUGGCUAUAUUUUAACUGCAAUAUUUGGGGGAAGUCAACAACAGAAAAGACGUACCUAUCUCACUGACUCUUCUCCAGGGUAUGUUGAUGGAGUUCCUAAAUCUUUUGUUGAUAAGAAUUUAAUAAUGAAGUAGGUAUUUAAUAUACAAUUCAAUUGAAGUUACUGCUCCUCUGUCCAUGGAUUUGUCAGCCACUCACAUUCAUUCAUUGCUGGCAGACAGGGAGCAGACCAAGAGGGUUCUGGGAUUAUUAAAUCACUUGCAUUAACUUUGACUUGUCAAGCCAAUGGGCACCCUCAGACAAUGUUUCAUUCUAGUGAACAAUGUUACUCAUAACGCAGUUAAGAACCUCACAAUAAAUGAUGAAAAC